GGUAGUCUCGCACAGAUGCAUAUCAAUAAGCGGAGGAAAAGAAACUAACAAGGAUUCCCCUAGUAACGGCGAGUGAAGCGGGAAGAGCUCAAAUUUGAAACUCUUAAAGGGUUUCCCUUUACGAAUUGUAGUUUAAAGAAGUGUUUUCUGUUGAGGUUUUGGUAAAAGUUCUUUGGAAUAGGACAUCAUAGAGGGUGAGAAUCCCGUAUUUGACCUUUACUUUCAACUUUGUGAUACACUUUCAAAGAGUCGGACUUGUUUGGGAAUGCAGUCCAAAAUGGGUGGUAAAUUUCAUCUAAAGCUAAAUAUUGGCGAGGAGACCGAUAGCGAACAAGUACCGUGAGGGAAAGAUGAAAAGAACUUUGAAAAGAGAGUUAAACAGUACGUGAAAUUGUCAAAAGGGAAGCGUUUGACACCAGUGUUGUUUUUCUGAAAAUCAAUUAAAGAACUGUUUAUGCUAAGCUGUUUAGACUUUAUCAGCUAACUGUUUAGUUUUGAGCUUUUCUUUAAUGCACUUUUCAGUUAACAAGUCAACAUCAAUUUCUUUUGCUGUAAAAAAGCUUGAGGAAGGUGGCUUGAGAUUCGUCUUAAGUGUUUAUAGCCUCUUGCCUAUGCAGUCGGAGAGAUUGAGGUCUGCAGCGUAGAUCCUUCGGGGCUAAAUGCAUUUGUGCUAAGUUAUAGCAUUUUAUAGACAACUUGUUGACUAUGAUUUGUCUUGUAGCUUACUCGCUUAUGUUAUUUUACCUACGCUUAGGAUGUUGAAGACUCUACAGAGAUA
rnacentral:rRNA from 1 species